GUGGGGAAUUUUGGACAAUGGGCGCAAGCCUGACCCAGCAACGCCGCGUGAAGGAAGAAGGUCUUCGGAUCGUAAACUUCUAUCCUUGGUGAAGAUAAUGACGGUAGCCGAGAAGGAAGCCCCGGCUAACUACGUGCCAGCAGCCGCGGUAAUACGUAGGGGGCAAGCGUUGUCCGGAAUGAUUGGGCGUAAAGGGCGCGUAGGCGGCCUGGUAAGUCUGGAGUGAAAGUCCUGCUUUUAAGGUGGGAAUUGCUUUGGAUACUGUCGGGCUUGAGUGCAGGAGAGGUAAGUGGAAUUCCCGGUGUAGCGGUGAAAUGCGUAGAGAUCGGGAGGAACACCAGUGGCGAAGGCGACUUACUGGACUGUAACUGACGCUGAGGCGCGAAAGUGUGGGGAGCAAACAGGAUUAGAAACCCUAGUAGUCC
rnacentral:rRNA from 1 species